AGAAAGAGCUGAGCAUGUGUAGGCAGGAACCAGUAGAUGCAGAGCCUCGGAGAUAAACCUGUGAAGGCAGGUGGGGGCUGUUUGUGGAGGCUCUUGAAUGUCAAGUGGAGACUGAUCUGAAUCCACUUAAGCAAAGAAAGAAAUUCACAAGCAACAGCAGGAAACUCCGCCUUCCAUUCCCUCCUCAGGCCUGGCCUCCUGGUUCUCUGUCGGCCCAUGUACUCCUCUGCCAGGCAAAACCUGCCAGACCCUCCCAGGGGGAGAGGACCUCCGAGUACCAGGGCCGACUCCGCUCCUGAGGCCGCUGAGCCCUCCUGCACCUGUCGGGCCCGGGAAGUGCCAUGGGACAGCUGAUCCCCAAGUUAAUGAGCAUCUCUGGGAACCAGGAGCACAAGGUUAUCAUCGUGGGACUGGACAAUGAAGGAAAGACCACCAUUCUCUACGGGUUUGUGGUCUACAGACUAGUCACAUAGGCAUCACCUGAACGCUUAUUAGGAAUGCAAAACCAUGGCAGGGCGCAGUUGCUUACGCACGUAAUCGCAGCACUUUGGGAGGCCGAGGCGGGCGGAUCACCUGAGAUCAGGAGUUCAAGAGCAGCCUGGCCAACAUGGUGAAACCUCGUCUCUACUAAAAAUACAACAAC
rnacentral:sRNA from 1 species